rnacentral:rRNA from 1 species
AAUGGGUCAGCGACUUAUAUUCUGUAGCAAGGUUAACCGAAUAGGGGAGCCGAAGGGAAACCGAGUCUUAACUGGGCGUUAAGUUGCAGGGUAUAGACCCGAAACCCGGUGAUCUAGCCAUGGGCAGGUUGAAGGUUGGGUAACACUAACUGGAGGACCGAACCGACUAAUGUUGAAAAAUUAGCGGAUGACUUGUGGCUGGGGGUGAAAGGCCAAUCAAACCGGGAGAUAGCUGGUUCUCCCCGAAAGCUAUUUAGGUAGCGCCUCGUGAAUUCAUCUCCGGGGGUAGAGCACUGUUUCGGCAAGGGGGUCAUCCCGACUUACCAACCCGAUGCAAACUGCGAAUACCGGAGAAUGUUAUCACGGGAGACACACGGCGGGUGCUAACGUCCGUCGUGAAGAGGGAAACAACCCAGACCGCCAGCUAAGGUCCCAAAGUCAUGGUUAAGUGGGAAACGAUGUGGGAAGGCCCAGACAGCCAGGAUGUUGGCUUAGAAGCAGCCAUCAUUUAAAGAAAGCGUAAUAGCUCACUGGUCGAGUCGGCCUGCGCGGAAGAUGUAACGGGGCUAAACCAUGCACCGAAGCUGCGGCAGCGACGCUUAUGCGUUGUUGGGUAGGGGAGCGUUCUGUAAGCCUGUGAAGGUGUGCUGUGAGGCAUGCUGGAGGUAUCAGAAGUGCGAAUGCUGACAUAAGUAACGAUAAAGCGGGUGAAAAGCCCGCUCGCCGGAAGACCAAGGGUUCCUGUCCAACGUUAAUCGGGGCAGGGUGAGUCGACCCCUAAGGCGAGGCCGAAAGGCGUAGUCGAUGGGAAACAGGUUAAUAUUCCUGUACUUGGUGUUACUGCGAAGGGGGGACGGAGAAGGCUAUGUUGGCCGGGCGACGGUUGUCCCGGUUUAAGCGUGUAGGCUGGUUUUCCAGGCAAAUCCGGAAAAUCAAGGCUGAGGCGUGAUGACGAGGCACUACGGUGCUGAAGCAACAAAUGCCCUGCUUCCAGGAAAAGCCUCUAAGCAUCAGGUAACAUCAAAUCGUACCCCAAACCGACACAGGUGGUCAGGUAGAGAAUACCAAGGCGCUUGAGAGAACUCGGGUGAAGGAACUAGGCAAAAUGGUGCCGUAACUUCGGGAGAAGGCACGCUGAUAUGUAGGUGAAGUCCCUCGCGGAUGGAGCUGAAAUCAGUCGAAGAUACCAGCUGGCUGCAACUGUUUAUUAAAAACACAGCACUGUGCAAACACGAAAGUGGACGUAUACGGUGUGACGCCUGCCCGGUGCCGGAAGGUUAAUUGAUGGGGUUAGCGGUAACGCGAAGCUCUUGAUCGAAGCCCCGGUAAACGGCGGCCGUAACUAUAACGGUCCUAAGGUAGCGAAAUUCCUUGUCGGGUAAGUUCCGACCUGCACGAAUGGCGUAAUGAUGGCCAGGCUGUCUCCACCCGAGACUCAGUGAAAUUGAACUCGCUGUGAAGAUGCAGUGUACCCGCGGCAAGACGGAAAGACCCCGUGAACCUUUACUAUAGCUUGACACUGAACAUUGAGCCUUGAUGUGUAGGAUAGGUGGGAGGCUUUGAAGUGUGGACGCCAGUCUGCAUGGAGCCGGCCUUGAAAUACCACCCUUUAAUGUUUGAUGUUCUAACGUUGGCCCCUGAUCGGGGUUGCGGACAGUGUCUGGUGGGUAGUUUGACUGGGGCGGUCUCCUCCUAAAGAGUAACGGAGGAGCACGAAGGUUGGCUAAUCCUGGUCGGACAUCAGGAGGUUAGUGCAAUGGCAUAAGCCAGCUUGACUGCGAGCGUGACGGCGCGAGCAGGUGCGAAAGCAGGUCAUAGUGAUCCGGUGGUUCUGAAUGGAAGGGCCAUCGCUCAACGGAUAAAAGGUACUCCGGGGAUAACAGGCUGAUACCGCCCAAGAGUUCAUAUCGACGGCGGUGUUUGGCACCUCGAUGUCGGCUCAUCACAUCCUGGGGCUGAAGUAGGUCCCAAGGGUAUGGCUGUUCGCCAUUUAAAGUGGUACGCGAGCUGGGUUUAGAACGUCGUGAGACAGUUCGGUCCCUAUCUGCCGUGGGCGCUGGAGAACUGAGGGGGGCUGCUCCUAGUACGAGAGGACCGGAGUGGACGCAUCACUGGUGUUCGGGUUGUCAUGCCAAUGGCACUGCCCGGUAGCUAAAUGCGGAAGAGAUAAGUGCUGAAAGCAUCUAAGCACGAAACUUGCCCCGAGAUGAGUUCUCCCUGACUCCUUGAGAGUCCUGAAGGAACGUUGAAGACGACGACGUUGAUAGGCCGGGUGUGUAAGCGCAGCGAUGCGUUGAGCUAACCGGUACUAAUGAACCGUGAGG